rnacentral:lncRNA from 1 species
AUGAGUGAACAACUUCAGAAUCCUGCUAGGAAAACCUGCCCUGUGAAGCCACUGAGAGAGUCGAGGUACAGAGUGAAAAUUGUCCAUCUCUUCAUAAAAAAAGGAAAACUUUUACGUCUCUCUGCAAGAGAAUCUCUCUGUGGGGAUAUGGCAAGAAACCAAAUAGCCUCUGCUAUUCUCUCUUCUUCCGGAUGCACUUUCUCCUGGGGGAUGUCUCACACCGUGGUGGCCAGUGAGGAGUCAGGCCGUGUUUCUGUCCACUUAAUAAAUACUCUGGCUCAUGUGACUCUUCCCUCAGGAGCCCAUAGCAUGAUGAAGUAGGUUGGCUUAUUUAAAGAAACCAUAUCUGGGAGGAACUAGAUGAUAAUAGGAACAUAGAGUAGAGACCUCAUGAACAUUUUCCUGUCAUGGAGCACUUGGGCCCUUUGGUAAAGUCUUUGGAACCCCCAGUCAGAAUAAUAUUUUAAAAUAUAUAAAAUAAAGAGUUAUAAAGGAAACCUGUUAUAUUGACAUAUAGUCGGCAAAAUAUUAAAAUGAAACAAAUGUGAUCUAGUAAUUUUGGGUUUCUUUAUCAAUAUAGUAAGUAGUAAGACAAUACAUUUGAAAUAUUGACAAGUUAAAUUUUAUUUUGCAAUAGCAUAGCAGUGUGAAGACAGUUGGUUUUCAUUUGAUUUGGAACAUUAAACUUUGGGGUGGACCUUAUCUCUUUCCACAUAUUAAUACAAGAACACUAGAAAACAACGUGGAUGUCUGGAUCACCAGGGUGGUACUUCAAUCUUUGGUGGCAGAAAGCUGCCCAAAUGUUGGCCAGCUACAUCACCUGAACAUCUGCAGAUAGGGCAACUGUGCUCCCAUGAAAUAAUAUUUGCUUAUUGCAGGUUGAAUAACAAUCACAGUUUCAAAGUAUGAUGAAGAAAAAUAAUAUUUAUAGAUUUCUGGAGCUACUAUCUAGAAAUAUCAAAGUAACUGUGAUUUCUAUUGGUGAUAAAGCCCUUGAUUGUGCCUAAACUUCUGAAGUUUGCUGCUGAGAUAGGCUGAAAUUUUUCACUUCUUCUGUAUUCAGUUUUUCUUUGUGACUUUGCAAUUCCACUCACAAAAUGCAAAGUGUACUUCCCCACACUAGGCUUUGAACUCUAGCACAUGACUUGUUUUAGCCAAAGAGAUUGUGCACCAGUGUUGAACCUAGGCCUGAAGAAGCCUCAUGUAUUUCCACUGGUGUGUUAGUGCAUUCUUCAUCACCAUGGGAAGAAUUCGCCCAGAGUGGUCUACUAGUCUAAAGAGAAUGAAAGACACUUGGCACAGAACUGCUCAGCCAGCCUACAAAAGUGCAGCAAAAGGCAGAAUCCACUGGCUUGGCUCACUGUAGAUCACACAACCCCCCAAGGUAUGAGGAAGUUUAAGUUCAGAAAAGCUAUUCCAACUGACCUAUAGAUGCAUGAGAAAUGAAUGGCUGUCGUUGAAUGACACUGACAUGUGUGUUUGUUAUGCAGCAGUAGCUAAAUGAUAACUUUUUCUACAAUUUAAGUAAAUGCUACAUUUCAGUG